rnacentral:lncRNA from 1 species
CAGAUGAUUACAUAUCAAAAUAAAUAGUAAAGGAAGAUAUUUUACAACUAAAUAAAUAAUAGUGAAAACAAUAAAAGAAAAAUAAAAGAGAACUUUGACGGGGCCAAGCAUGUCAAUGCAGGGCAAGGGCCGCUAGGCAGGAAAAGUAGAGAAGAUUGAUCCUUCUGUUUUCCUUCUGUAAGCAGAAGUAAAAAUGCAGCAACAAGCAAAGUCUUUGAAUUUUCUAGUUUCCUGGUAUCAUUUUUUCUUUCGAGAAGAAACUCAACUAGGACAGAAUACAAAUAUUGUCAAAGAACAUGUAGAUAGGUACUCUUGGACUACUUUAACAUGUUCAGUUUCUACCAUAAACCUUGCCAGAGAGACAAAUUUUCAUAUUAAGAUGACAGUCCAGUGAUCAAAAGUUCACAAUUCGAACUAUAUUGUCACCAUACCAAAUUACAUUAGCCUCCUAAUUACUACUGCCAAAUUGGACUUAUCAUUCAUUAUCGAGGGUAAGAAGAUAUAUACACAUUUCAUUAGUAUUUCAUAGACCAAUUUAACAGAAUCUAUCUACUUACCAAAGUAAAUAGUUAAGGAAGAUAUUUUACGGCUACAAGUCUCAGUAAAGUCUUUCUUCUCAACACUAAAAAAAAGUAGAGGAGGUAGAGAAAUCGUAUGCAUCAUAUCAUGCAAUACUAUAUACGUUUAUUUACAAGAAAUCAGCACAACUCGUACAAAAUUAGUACAAUGUAUGCAGAUUUGUGAAGGUUCAACGGUGUAUGCAAGUGCAAUAGCAAACAAGGUUAUUUCUUCUAGUUUUUGACUUUGGAAACAGAUAUGUAUACCAAGAUUGCAAAAUCCAACUUGGUGGAAUAUGUUGAUAUCUUCAUAUAUUUGAUUCUAGAACUAAAUAUUAUUUGAAAAGUUCCUCCUUUUAUUGUUGUUUUGAGAUUCUUGGGUUCCUAUAUCCUUUUUGCUUUACUGUUGAUUGUAAGUUACAAAAUAAUUUUGGCAAAUUUGGUUUUUCAAGGCUGGAGCUUUUUUAUUGGCCAUAGAUAAGAUACAUUCCUUACAGUUGUGUCUCUGCUAACUUCUUUGCUGGUUACUUCCUCGGUGGUCUCUAUCAAAUAGUGAAUUAUUAAGUGCUAUUUGAGCCAAAGAUGACUGACUUUAAACACUUAAAAUAUCCAACAUCAGUUUAUUGCAAGGCUUUGAACUACAGAUACACCUAAUGAUAACAGAGGGAUGGCUUGCAAUAAACUGAAACUGAUUAUAAUCAUGUUUAUAUGGAUUUUACAAAUGAAAUUCAUUAUAAUCAUUUUAUUUAGAAAUUUUCUUCAUUUGGGACCAUACUCUACAAAAAUUGUCACUUGGACACCUGAUUUUGUCCAAGGG